AACGAACGCUGGCGGCAGGCUUAACACAUGCAAGUCGAACGCCCCGCAAGGGGAGUGGCAGACGGGUGAGUAACGCGUGGGAAUCUACCCAGAACCUCGGAACAACUGAGGGAAACUUCAGCUAAUACCGGAUACGCCCUACGGGGGAAAGAUUUAUCGGUUUUGGAUGAGCCCGCGUUGGAUUAGCUAGUUGGUGAGGUAAUGGCUCACCAAGGCGACGAUCCAUAGCUGGUCUAAGAGGAUGAUCAGCCACACUGGGACUGAGACACGGCCCAGACUCCUACGGGAGGCAGCAGUGGCGAAUAUUGGACAAUGGGCGAAAGCCUGAUCCAGCCAUGCCGCGUGAGUGAUGAAGGCCUUAGGGUUGUAAAGCUCUUUCAGUGGGGAAGAUAAUGACGGUACCCACAGAAGAAGCCCCGGCUAACUUCGUGCCAGCAGCCGCAGUAA
rnacentral:rRNA from 1 species